rnacentral:misc_RNA from 1 species
AAGUCGUAACAAGGUUUCCGUAGGUGAACCUGCGGAAGGAUCAUUAACGAAUAUCUAUGGCGUUGGUUGUAGCUGGCUCCUAGGAGCAUUUGUGCACGCCCGUCAUUCAUAUCAUCUUUCCACCUGUGAACUAUGUGUAGGCCUGGAUACCUCUCGCUUUGGAAUCAAAGCGGAUGCAAGGAUUGCUGUGUCGACAAGACCGGCUCUCUUUGAAUUUCCAGGUUCUAUGUCUUUUUACACACCCCAUUUGAAUGAUGUAGAAUGUAGUCAAUGGGCUUUCAUGCCUAUAAAACACUAUACAACUUUCAGCAACGGAUCUCUUGGCUCUC